CCUACGGGGUGCUGCAGUGAGGAAUAUUGGUCAAUGGACGAGAGUCUGAACCAGCCAAGUAGCGUGAAGGAUGACUGCCCUAUGGGUUGUAAACUUCUUUUAUAUGGGAAUAAAAUGUUCCACGUGUGGGAUUUUGUAUGUACCAUAUGAAUAAGGAUCGGCUAACUCCGUGCCAGCAGCCGCGGUAAUACGGAGGAUCCGAGCGUUAUCCGGAUUUAUUGGGUUUAAAGGGAGCGUAGGUGGAUUGUUAAGUCAGUUGUGAAAGUUUGCGGCUCAACCGUAAAAUUGCAGUUGAAACUGGCAGUCGUGAGUACAGUAGAGGUGGGCGGAAUUCGUGGUGUAGCGGUGAAAUGCUUAGAUAUCACGAAGAACUCCGAUUGCGAAGGCAGCUCACUGGACUGCAACUGACACUGAGGCUCGAAAGUGUGGGUAUCAAACAGGAUUAGAUACCCGAGUAGUC
rnacentral:rRNA from 1 species